GUGAGCCCGGAGAUGGACACUGAGACAAGGUCCCAGGCCCUACGGGGCGCAGCAGUUACGAAAACUCCGCAAUGCACGAAAGUGUGACGGGGCUAUCCCGAGUGCCGUCCGCUGAGGAUGGCUUUUCUCCAUUGUAAGGAGCUGGAGGAAUAAGGAGAGGGCAAGUCUGGUGUCAGCCGCCGCGGUAAUACCAGCUCUCCGAGUUGUAGGGACGAUUAUUGGGCUUAAAGCGUCCGUAGCCGGCUCAGCAAGUCCUCCGUUAAAUCCAGCGAUUCAAUCGUUGGGCUGCGGGGGAUACUGUUGGGCUUGGGGACGAGAGAGGCUGACGGUAUUCUCGGAGUAGGGGUGAAAUCCUAUAAUUCCGGGAGGACCACCAGUGGCGAAGGCUGUCAGCUAGAACGAGCUCGACGGUGAGGGACGAAAGCUGGGGGAGCGAACCGGAUUAGAUACCCGGGUAGUCCCAGCUGUAAACGAUGCGGGCUAGGUGUUAGGGUGGCUACGUGCCACUCUAGUGCCGCAGCGAAGGCAUUAAGCCCGCCGCCUGGG
rnacentral:rRNA from 1 species